UACGUAGGGUGCGAGCGUUGUCCGGAAUUACUGGGCGUAAAGAGCGCGCAGGCGGUCGGAUAAGUCGAAUGUGAAAGCCCCCGGCUCAACUGGGGAGGGUCAUUCGAUACUGUUCGACUCGAAGGCAGGAGAGGGAAGUGGAAUUCCCGGUGUAGUGGUGAAAUGCGUAGAUAUCGGGAGGAACACCAGUGGCGAAGGCGACUUCCUGGCCUGUUCUUGACGCUGAGGCGCGAAAGCUAGGGGAGCAAACGGG
rnacentral:rRNA from 1 species